rnacentral:lncRNA from 1 species
GGGGAGUUUCCCUGCACAAGCUCUUUUCUCUUGUCUGUCACCAUGUGAGACAUGGCUUUCACCUUCCAUCAUGAUUGUGAGGCCUCCCCAGCCACAUAGAAUUGUGUCAUGAGAGCCACCCUUCCCAAAGUAGCACUUGUGAGCAGAGGUGAUCAGAGGGCUUUCUGAAGAGUGAGGAGUGACUUCAGAGGGCCAAAAAGAAGAAAAGGGAGUGAGACAGUCGUUAAGACUCCUAAUCCCGGCUUAUUUUUACUGCUUCUCAACACAGCAUUGCAAGUGGCUGAUUUGAUGGAUGUGGCACGUGACCAAGUUCUGGCUAAUGAGAUGUCUGAAACUUAAAGUGGAAGAGAUGUAUCAUCUCCUUUUCCUUGCUCCAUCCUGCUACCUGAAAAAUGGAUGUGGUGACAAGCCCUGGAAAACCACAAGGAUGAGAACAGCACUGGAGAGAUGGUGCAGCGCAUGAUGCAAUUGCCUAGGAACUGACUUGCACUUUGGCUAAACCAUCUGGACCUUCAAGCUGAAAACUGAAGUCAUUGCUUCAAUGUUACCCAAUGGAUUCUAUUACUGGGGUACACAAAGAAAAAGGAGAUGUAAAUGGGCCUGAGGGAGAGUCUGAGUGCUGGACCUGAGUCAGUUCAGAGACAUGAUCACAGAAUCACAUGAGACAUUUUGCCAAGUUUUACCAGGGACAAAAGCCAAGGUCUCUUGAAUCUCAGCCUAGUGCAGGCAUCUUUCUCCUGAUGUUUCAUCCUUCUUAAAGAACUAUCAGAAACCAAAUCUUUAGUAUAGGUACCUAAGAUAUUUUUCUAGCUUUUCCCUUUUGUUAUUUUCUAUUUAGCUGUGUUUCUCCUUGUCCGUUCUUUAUUUACUAAACUUUCUAUUGAAUAUCUUUUCUACUUAAAACUAGUCCCAUGAUUCAAAAGCGGCCCUUGUCUGGCCUACAUGGUGAAACCCCGUCUCUACUAAAAAUACAAAAAUUAGCUGGGAGUGGUGAUAGGCACCUGCAAUCCCAGCUACUUAGGAGGCCGAGGCAGGAGAAUUGCUUGAACCCAGGAGGCAGAGGUCGCAGUGAGCCAAGAUCAUGCCACCGCACUCCAGCCUGGGUG